AUUUGAUGAUGUGGACAUUGAAUUUGUAACUCCCUAAAACCUUUCCCAAGCUUCGAAGAAUUCCUCCGUAUGCUUUUGUCUAAAAGUUUGGAUCUUGUUUCUUAACU
rnacentral:snoRNA from 1 species